UCCCGGCGGUCCAAGUCGCAGCCACAAUUAUUGGGUCUAAAACAUUCGUAGCUUGUUAUGUAAGUUCCUUGUGAAAUUUUAACUCUUAAGGUUAAAGCGUGCAAGGAAUACUGCAUAACUUGAGACCGGAAGAAGCAAAGAGUAUGCUUGAGGUAGCAGUAAAAUGUUUUAAUCUUGAGCAGACUAACAAUAGCGAAGGCACUUUGCUAGUACGGAUCUGACAGUGAGGAAUGAAGGCUAGGGUCGCGAAAGG
rnacentral:rRNA from 1 species